UGCGUAGGUGGCCAUUUAAGUCUUUGGUGUAAGUUCAGCGCUCAACGCUGUGAUGCUAAAGAAACUGGGAGGCUUGAGUGUGGUAGAGGCAAGUGGAAUUCCAUGUGUAGCGGUAAAAUGCGUAAAUAUAUGGAGGAACACCGGUAGCGAAGGCGGCUUGCUGGGCCACAACUGACACUGAGGCACGAAAGCGUGGGGAGCAAACA
rnacentral:rRNA from 1 species